rnacentral:lncRNA from 1 species
GAUUGUCCAAAUGUCCUUGUGAACUCCUUGAUCCUUUUCUUCAAGAUUUCUUGAAGUUUGUAUCACCACAAUAAUCCCUCACAAGGCUUAAACAAUAUCUGUAUAGUUUCACAAUAAUAAUAUGACAAUACCAAAGGUUGGUAUAUGGUUUUCCACAAUUAUUUGCAAGACAAUAAUGGUGUUUUUGCUCUUGAUUCAAUGGGAGGAAGAAGAGUCUUGUCUUGCAAUAAUGUGGGAACCAUAACCCCCACUUUANN